AGAGUUUGAUCCUGGCUCAGAACGAACGCUGGCGGCAGGCCUAACACAUGCAAGUCGAGCGCUACCUUCGGGUGGAGCGGCGGACGGGUUAGUAACGCGUGGGAAUAUACCCAGUUCUAAGGAAUAGCCACUGGAAACGGUGAGUAAUACCUUAUACGCCCUUCGGGGGAAAGAUUUAUCGGAAUUGGAUUAGCCCGCGUUAGAUUAGAUAGUUGGUGGGGUAAUGGCCUACCAAGUCUACGAUCUAUAGCUGGUUUGAGAGGAUGAUCAGCAACACUGGGACUGAGACACGGCCCAGACUCCUACGGGAGGCAGCAGUGGGGAAUCUUAGACAAUGGGCGAAAGCCUGAUCUAGCCAUGCCGCGUGAGUGAUGGAGGCCCUAGGGUCGUAAAGCUCUUUCAACUGUGAAGAUAAUGACGGUAGCGGUAGAAGAAACCCCGGCUAACUCCGUGCCAGCAGCCGCGGUAAUACGGAGGGGGUUAGCGUUGUUCGGAAUUACUGGGCGUAAAGCGUACGUAGGCGGAUUAAUAAGUUAGAGGUGAAAUCCCAGGGCUCAACCCUGGAACUGCCUUUAAAACUGUUAGUCUUGAGAUCGAGAGAGGUGAGUGGAAUUCCAAGUGUAGAGGUGAAAUUCGUAGAUAUUUGGAGGAACACCAGUGGCGAAGGCGGCUCACUGGCUCGAUACUGACGCUGAGGUACGAAAGUGUGGGGAGCAAACAGGAUUAGAUACCCUGGUAGUCCACACCGUAAACGAUGAAUGCCAGACGUCAGCAAGCAUGCUUGUUGGUGUCACACCUAACGGAUUAAGCAUUCCGCCUGGGGAGUACGGUCGCAAGAUUAAAACUCAAAGGAAUUGACGGGGGCCCGCACAAGCGGUGGAGCAUGUGGUUUAAUUCGACGCAACGCGCAGAACCUUACCAACCCUUGACAUACUUGUCGCGGAUUCCAGAGAUGGAUUCCUUCAGUUCGGCUGGACAAUGUACAGGUGCUGCAUGGCUGUCGUCAGCUCGUGUCGUGAGAUGUUCGGUUAAGUCCGGCAACGAGCGCAACCCACGUCCUUAGUUACCAGCAUUUAGUUGGGUACCCUAAGGAGACUGCCGGUGAUAAGCCGGAGGAAGGUGUGGACGACGUCAAGUCAUCAUGGCCCUUACGGGUUGGGCUACACACGUGCUACAAUGGCAUCUACAGUGAGUUAAUCUCCAAAAGAUGUCUCAGUUCGGAUUGGGGUCUGCAACUCGACCCCAUGAAGUUGGAAUCGCUAGUAAUCGCGGAACAGCAUGCCGCGGUGAAUACGUUCCCGGGCCUUGUACACACCGCCCGUCACACCAUGGGAAUUGGGUCUACCCGAAGGUGGUGCGCCAACUAUUUAUAGAGGCAGCCAACCACGGUAGGUUCAGUGACUGGGGUGAAGUCGUAACAAGGUA
rnacentral:rRNA from 1 species